UUGCUAAUUGCUGACGAGUGGCGGACGGGUGAGUAAUGCUUGGGAACUUGCCUUUGCGAGGGGGAUAACAGUUGGAAACGACUGCUAAUACCGCAUAAUGUCUACGGACCAAACGGGGCUUUUAGCUCCGGCGCAAAGAGAGGCCCAAGUGAGAUUAGCUAGUUGGUAAGGUAAAGGCUUACCAAGGCAACGAUCUCUAGCUGUUCUGAGAGGAAGAUCAGCCACACUGGAACUGAGACACGGUCCAGACUCCUACGGGAGGCAGCAGUGGGGAAUAUUGCACAAUGGGGGAAACCCUGAGGCAGCCAUGCCGCGUGUGUGAAGAAGGCCUUCGGGUUGUAAAGCACUUUCAGUUGUGAGGAAAAGUUAGUAGUUAAUACCUGCUAGCCGUGACGUUAACAACAGAAGAAGCACCGGCUAACUCCGUGCCAGCAGCCGCGGUAAUACGGAGGGUGCGAGCGUUAAUCGGAAUUACUGGGCGUAAAGCGCACGCAGGCGGUUUGUUAAGCUAGAUGUGAAAGCCCCGGGCUCAACCUGGGAUGGUCAUUUAGAACUGGCAGACUAGAGUCUUGGAGAGGGGAGUGGAAUUCCAGGUGUAGCGGUGAAAUGCGUAGAUAUCUGGAGGAACAUCAGUGGCGAAGGCGACUCCCUGGCCAAAGACUGACGCUCAUGUGCGAAAGUGUGGGUAGCGAACAGGAUUAGAUACCCUGGUAGUCCACACCGUAAACGCUGUCUACUAGCUGUUUGUGGCUUUAAGCCGUGAGUAG
rnacentral:rRNA from 1 species